GUGGGGAAUCUUGCGCAAUGGGCGAAAGCCUGACGCAGCCAUGCCGCGUGAAUGAUGAAGGUCUUAGGAUUGUAAAAUUCUUUCACCGGGGACGAUAAUGACGGUACCCGGAGAAGAAGCUCCGGCUAACUUCGUGCCAGCAGCCGCGGUAAUACGAAGGGGGCUAGCGUUGCUCGGAAUUACUGGGCGUAAAGGGCGCGUAGGCGGACAGCUUAGUCAGAGGUGAAAGCCCAGGGCUCAACCUUGGAAUUGCCUUUGAUACUGGCUGUCUUGAGUUUGGGAGAGGUGAGUGGAACUCCGAGCGUAGAGGUGAAAUUCGUAGAUAUUCGGAAGAACACCAGUGGCGAAGGCGACUCACUGGCCCAAUACUGACGCUGAGGCGCGAAAGCGUGGGGAGCAAACAGGAUUAGAAACCCGUGUAGUCC
rnacentral:rRNA from 1 species